UACAGAGGUCCCAAGCGUUGUUCGGAUUCACUGGGCGUAAAGGGUGCGUAGGCGGUCGGGUAAGUCUGAUGUGAAAUCUCACAGCUUAACUGUGAAACUGCAUUGGAUACUAUUCGGCUUGAGAGUUGGAGGGGGGGACUGGGAAUUCUUGGUGUAGCAGUGAAAUGCGUAGAUAUCAAGAGGAACACCAGUGGCGAAGGCGAGUCCCUGGACAACUUCUGACGCUGAGGCACGAAAGCUAGGGGAGCAAACAGG
rnacentral:rRNA from 1 species